UACGAAGGGGGCUAGCGUUGUUCGGAAUUACUGGGCGUAAAGCGCACGUAGGCGGAUUGUUAAGUCAGAGGUGAAAUCCCGGAGCUCAACUUCGGAACUGCCUUUGAUACUGGCAAUCUAGAGUCCGGAAGAGGUUAGUGGAAUUCCCAGUGUAGAGGUGAAAUUCGUAGAUAUUGGGAAGAACACCAGUGGCGAAGGCGGCGACCUGGUUCAAUACUGACGCUGAGGUGCGAAAGCGUGGGGAGCAAACAGG
rnacentral:rRNA from 1 species